AGAGUUUGAUCCUGGCUCAGGAUGAACGCUGGCGGCGUGCCUAACACAUGCAAGUCGAACGGGGCGCGCAGGCUGAGGCUUUUCGGAGCGGAAGCCGGCGCUGUCCAGUGGCGGACGGGUGAGUAACGCGUGGGCAACCUGCCCCAUACAGGGGGAUAACAGCCGGAAACGGCUGCUAAAACCGCAUAAGCGCACAAGGGCCGCAUGGCCUGGUGUGAAAAACUCCGGUGGUAUGGGAUGGGCCCGCGUCUGAUUAGCUAGUUGGUGGGGGAGAGGCCCACCAAGGCGACGAUCAGUAGCCGACCUGAGAGGGUGGCCGGCCACAUUGGGACUGAGACACGGCCCAAACUCCUACGGGAGGCAGCAGUGGGGAAUAUUGCACAAUGGGGGAAACCCUGAUGCAGCGACGCCGCGUGAGCGAAGAAGUAUUUCGGUAUGUAAAGCUCUAUCAGCAGGGAAGAAAAAUGACGGUACCUGAGUAAGAAGCACCGGCUAAAUACGUGCCAGCAGCCGCGGUAAUACGUAUGGUGCAAGCGUUAUCCGGAUUUACUGGGUGUAAAGGGAGCGCAGGCGGUGCGGCAAGUCUGAUGUGAAACCCCGGGGCUCAACCCCGGGACUGCAUUGGAAACUACCGAACUAGAGUGUCGGAGAGGUAAGUGGAAUUCCUAGUGUAGCGGUGAAAUGCGUAGAUAUUAGGAGGAACACCAGUGGCGAAGGCGGCUUACUGGACGAUAACUGACCCUGAGGCUCGAAAGCGUGGGGAGCAAACAGGAUUAGAUUCCCCUGGUAAUCCCACGCCGUAAACCAAUGAAAUACUAGGGGUCGGGGGGGGCUUUGGCCCUUCGGUGCCCCCACAAACCCAAUAAAUUUUUCCACCUGGGGAAGUACCUUUCGCAAAAAUGAAA
rnacentral:rRNA from 1 species